GGAUUAACGCUAGCGGCAGGCCUAAUACAUGCAAGUCGAACGGUAAAUAAGUAGCAAUACUUAUGAGAGUGGCGGACGGGUGAGUAACGCGUAUGCAACCUACCUUUUACAGAGGAAUAGCCCAGAGAAAUUUGGAUUAAUACCUCAUAGUACUUUUAGAUCACAUGGUUUAAUAGUUAAAGCUUCGGCGGUAAAAGAUGGGCAUGCGUGACAUUAGAUUGUUGGCGGGGUAACGGCCCACCAAGUCUGCGAUGUCUAGGGGUUCUGAGAGGAUGAUCCCCCACACUGGUACUGAGACACGGACCAGACUCCUACGGGAGGCAGCAGUGAGGAAUAUUGGUCAAUGGGCGCAAGCCUGAACCAGCCAUCCCGCGUGAAGGAAGACUGCCCUAUGGGUUGUAAACUUCUUUUAUGUACCAAGAAUGUGAGCUACGUGUAGCUUUUUGACGGUAGUACAUGAAUAAGCAUCGGCUAACUCCGUGCCAGCAGCCGCGGUAAUACGGAGGAUGCGAGCCUUAUCCGGAUUUAUUGGGUUUAAAGGGUGCGCAGGCGGGCUAUUAAGUCAGCGGUGAAAUCCUACAGCUUAACUGUAGAACUGCCGUUGAUACUGAUAGUCUUGAGUUUGGUUGAGGUAGGCGGAAUGUGUCAUGUAGCGGUGAAAUGCUUAGAUAUGACACAGAACACCGAUUGCGAAGGCAGCUUACUAAACCAAUACUGACGCUGAGGCACGAAAGCGUGGGGAGCGAACAGGAUUAGAUACCCUGGUAGUCCACGCCGUAAACGAUGAAUACUCGCUGUUAGCAAUACACAGUUAGCGGCUAAGCGAAAGCAUUAAGUAUUCCACCUGGGGAGUACGAUCGCAAGAUUGAAACUCAAAGGAAUUGACGGGGGCCCGCACAAGCGGAGGAACAUGUGGUUUAAUUCGAUGAUACGCGAGGAACCUUACCUGGGCUUAAAUGUAGUUUGAUUUUAUUGGAACGAUAUUUCCCUUCGGGGCAAAUUACAAGGUGCUGCAUGGUUGUCGUCAGCUCGUGCCGUGAGGUGUCGGGUUAAGUCCCAUAACGAGCGCAACCCCUAUUGUUAGUUGCUAACAGGUCAUGCUGAGGACUCUAAUAAGACUGCCAUCGUAAGAUGAGAGGAAGGUGGGCAUGACGUCAAAUCAGCACGGCCCUUACGUCCAGGGCUACACACGUGUUACAAUGGCCGGUACAGAGGGCAGCUACACAGCGAUGUGAUGCGAAUCUCCAAAGCCGGUCUCAGUUCGGAUCGGGGUCUGCAACUCGACUCCGUGAAGUUGGAUUCGCUAGUAAUCGGAUAUCAGCCAUGAUCCGGUGAAUACGUUCCCGGGC
rnacentral:rRNA from 1 species